UAAUUACUUCCUCCGUCCCAAAAUUCUUGUCUUACCUUUGUUUAGAAAUAGAUGUAUCAAAAUACUAAAACUUGACUAGAUACAUCCAUAUCUAAACAAAUCUAAGACAAAAAUUAUGGGACGGAGGGAGUAUUAU
rfam:Hordeum vulgare subsp. vulgare, WGS project CAJW01000000 data, contig: morex_contig_39348